rnacentral:tRNA from 1 species
CGGACUGGAAAUCUGAAGGUUGUGAGUUCGAAUCUCACAU